rnacentral:ncRNA from 1 species
UAGGUAGGCGUAGGUGAUCCUUUGGGCCAGGAGGCAACACACGCUAUUUGCGCUGGCAUGGGUGGAGUACGUACUGCAGGUGACAUGGUACUCAGAAUGC